rnacentral:tRNA from 2 species
GCACGAGUAGCUCAGCUGGUAGAGCAUCACGUUGCCAACGUGAGGGUCGCCGGUUCGAAUCCGGUCUCGUGCUCCA